CAAUUCAAAUAUGAUAAUUGAGAAACUGAAUGAACAGUGGAGCAAAAGUGAUGUCACCUUCCACGUUUUUAGAAGCCACGUGUAUGACUUCUUCAACCCUACUUGCCACGCAUCAAAAAACCACCGCGUGAAAAAAGGGGUUUGCUAGCCAGAGAUCAGAGAAGAGAUGGAGGCAGAAACGGAGUAGCUCUCCGGCGUCGACUUAGGGGAUCCACCGCACAUCGCUCUUCGGCGUCGAUGGUUCUCUGUCGGUGAUGGUGGCAGAGGGUGUCGGCGACCGGACGAUAUUUUUUCCAGAACUCCAUCGGGGUUUGAAACCCUAACCUGUGCUCCAUCGCCGUUGUCGUGCGGGUUUUCUCUUUCUUCAUCUACAUGUGAGUCGUUUGGCCGCCUGCCCUCCCGCCUCAGGCGAAGGUUCGUUACUUUGUUUUUGAAAUCUAUAUGAAGAGUGCUAAGUUAUCUUGGUUAGUAAAAAGGUAUAAUGAAGAUUUCAUUUUAUUUGGCCUUUUUUGUAUAGUACUACUGUUGGAUGAUUACUUAUAACCAUCAUCAACAAAUAAGAGGCUCACUUUUGAUGGGAUUUUGAAAGUCCUAAUUGGCGCAUACACAGAGUAUGGAAUGGGUUUGAUAAUUAGAAAUUAACCACUUGAUGGCACCAAACUUGACGGUACAUUUAGUCUCCCAUGAUGGUGUCCUUUGGUUCCUCUGAGACACUCUUCAAUCCAUGAGUCUUGCUGCUAGAGACUUAUCUAAGAGUUGUUAUAUUGUGCUGCUCCAGUUACCUUAAACUCCGAAAUUCGGAAACUGUGAUGAUGCAAAUUGUAUUUUCUCGGUUCAUUGUUUUGGCGAGGCAAUCGUGUUGGUUGCAGUCGCAAUGACCUUGCAUUUUGAGCCGUCAUAUUAUUAUAUGCGAAACUGCAAGCAUGAAAAGUUCAAUUCUGUAAAACUGAAUGCAUUACAAGUUAUAAAAGGGUUAUUACUCAACCCUUUUGUAGUUUUAGCUGCUGUAAUGCUGCCCUAUUUAACUAUGUUUGGCUGCAUUGUAGUUGUUUUACGGCUGUAAUGCAGCCCUAUCUAAAGAAGGUUGGUCGCAUUUUUCAGUUGUUGUAUUGCAGUCUGUUUAGAGUCCGUAUUGUGCAUAUUAGUUGGUUAAUGCGCAUAGAGUUGUCUUGAACACGAGGCUAUGAUGAGUGGAUAGAUUUAAUUGGAAAUUUUUUGAAGCUCAAACUUUGGCGUGGCAAAAUUACAGGAUGGUAGGUUCUCACUUGCAACCUAAUUUGCAGCCAUGAUAGUUUGAUCCUUUCAACUCUGAGCCUCAUAGUGUAUUAAUCUUGGUUGUCCACUUAGAUCGAUUUUAUCUCCCUUUUUACCAGGUGGUGCUCAUUUCUCACCUCCGCCGCGUACAUUCUUUCGUGCAUGUUUUCCUUUGCUUCUCUGGUUUCUCGAUGCUUUUUGGGCGUCGAUGAACCUCCAUCAUUUGUCACCGGCUUCGUCGUCGGGUUAGAGGUGGUUUUAAGGGUUCUCUGCCCAAACCUGAUGCCCUUAAACAUUGGGUGGCAAUGGUGUGGUGGUGGCCUUCGGUUUGAGCUACCACCAGUUUUGUCGCAAGGUUAGCUCUUUGCCAAAAUCACGAACCCUAAGUGGUGAUGGUGUGGUGGUGGCCGUUGGGUUGGACCUUACUCCGAGGCGUUGUUGGUUGCGUCUACUCUGGUGACCUGUAGUAAUACUAUACUAUAUCUUACUGAUUGUUUUUGUUGUUUAGUGUUUCUGGUAUGCCUGUUUCAUAUGAGGCUGUGAUGAGUUAGUAUCUGAUUGUUAAAUUGAUGAUGCACUCGCCUUUGCGUGGCGGGGAUAAAGCAUGGCAGUCCCUUAUUUGCAACAUUCUAUGUCGCCAUGGUGGUAUCAUUGCCUACUAGAGUCUGAGCAUGAGGAAAGCACCAGCACCCUUUAAUCCUAGGUAGUCAAGGCUCAAGGUGCAAAGGGUGAGCUUUUCGCCUAAGCGCAAGGUACUUAAAAAGUGAGGGCCAGACAAGCAAGUGGCACGUGUAUUCCAGGCCAUUUUUUAGCUGGUUUAGGGUGGUUUUGAUAGAUUACAGGCCAUUUUUAGCUCGCUCGGACCAAUUUAGGCUAUUUCUGACCGGUUUUUCUCCAGUUCAACUAGGUUAUCAGACCGGUUCAUUGAGCGCCUAGGUGCUCUCAAGGCUGUUUGGCUAAGCUUCACCUCACCUAGGCCCCUCGCCACACGCCAUUAGUGCCUUUACCUACUGUGCUUUAAACUACUCUAGACCGAGUUUAUGUUGUAUGAUUGUUGUACAUGUUUUAGGAACACCUACGCGAAAAGAGAUAAAAAGUAUGAACCCAAAUUAUACUGAAUUCAGGUUCCAAUGAAUAAAGCCUCAUCCAUGGCACAAGGUAGAAGCUUGUGUGCAUCCGUUCUUUGAUGAACUAAGAGAUCCCACUACGGUCACCCGCUUCCUCCGUUCUUCAAUUUUAAACUCCAAGUACCGGUUCAUCCAGCCCACUUUGAUCAUGUUGACAGAGAUGUCAAAUAUUUCUUUCUUGAAAUUUGAAAGAUGCCUUUUUAACUAUUCUAUUAUUUGAUGUUCAAUAAUAAAAUUGGGCCAGCUUGGUAGUGGGCUGAGUAUCGAGAUGGAGCAGGCUGAUUUAAGUAGAGGUAGAGGUGUAAAUAACGGUUUUGUAUCGAAGAACAGAUUCCUGACCCAGACUGUUAUCACACAUGAACCGGUUUCGCCCAAACCAGUUUGGGCUCAACCCCGACUCGGCGGUAUGGUAUAGGAUUGUGUUUUAUGUGUCAAAAUGGUGGUGCCUAACAGGUUUUGAACCUGACCUAACAUUCCAUCUUUUUUGCUUUGGGCAUUCUACAAGUAGAGCCAUCAUUCGUAAGGUAGAUAUUGCUGACUGCGCAUUAAUAUUUAUGACGUACUCCACUACUGACCUCAUAAUCUGCUAACAUAUAUUGCAUUACAAUUAUUGCGGAUGACACAACCACUUUUAAUGUUCUGAAUGACCCACCAUAACCCAACAACAUGAGCGGUCACCCCAAUAACUGGAAUGGCCCUCCACCGUCGCAAAACACUAUAGCAAUACUGCUAUACCAGCAACAUGGGCAGUGUGGACAAAUAAUGGAGGCAAGAAUCUGAAAUGGAACUGAUUUGAUAUUUAUCUUGUACUAAACGUUACUCUGUCCAAUUCAAUACAGUUUGUGUGUGUAUGUACAUCGUAUAAAGUCCAAUUCACACGUA